rnacentral:rRNA from 1 species
GGUGAAGUUGGAAUUGCUAGUAAUCGCGGAUCAGCAUGCCGCGGUGAAUACGUUCCCGGGCCUUGUACACACCGCCCGUCACACCAUGGAAGUCGGUAAUGCCCGAAGUCAGUAGCCUAACCGCAAGGAGGGCGCUGCCGAAGGCAGGAUUGAUGACUGGGGUGAAGUCGUAACAAGGUAAC